UACGUAGGGUGCAAGCGUUGUCCGGAAUUAUUGGGCGUAAAGAGCUCGUAGGCGGUUCGUCGCGUCGGCUGUGAAAUCCCGGAGCUCAACUCCGGGUCUGCAGUCGAUACGGGCGGACUUGAGUACUGCAGGGGAGACUGGAAUUCCUGGUGUAGCGGUGAAAUGCGCAGAUAUCAGGAGGAACACCUGUGGCGAAAGCGGCUCACUGGACCACAACUGACGCUGAGGCGCGAAAGCUAGGGGAGCAAACAGG
rnacentral:rRNA from 1 species